CACAACAUUUUCUUAGGAUACAUGCUCUCGCACUUCCUCCAGAGCCUCCUUUCCCGAACACAGUAUGCCAAGAGCUAUUCAAUCACGCCAACAUGCUCAGCUGCAAUCCAUGCCUCACACCCAUAUAUACCAAGUCCAUGCUCUCUGCUCGUACCAGCACUACAACACAUGUGGCCUUCUGUGUGACGCUUGUGUGAUGAAAAUACGAUGCGUCGCCUAUCCCCUGUAAUAAAAGGUAUUCUAUGAUGAAAAUAAAUUUUUUCAGGCAUCUCUUUAAAACCUUGUCCAAAUUUUCAAGGCAUUCUUCGAAGUCUUUCCCAUAAACUGAGAAGUCGUUCAUGAAAACCUCCAUAAUAUUCUCUAUUAGAUCAGGUGCAUUCCAUAUAUAGACCAAAAGACAUUCGCCGAUAAGCGAAUGUUCCGUAGGGACAGGUGAAGGUAGUUUUGCUCUGGUCAUCCGAAUGAAUAGGAAUUCGAUGCUAACUAGAGUAUCCAUCGAGGUAGAAGAAGAACGAGUGCUUUGCUAGUCUCUCAAGCAUCUCGUCAAUGAAGGAGAGAGUGAAGUGAUCUUUUCGGGUAGCUUUAUUAAGCAUCCGGUAAUCGAUGCACAUCUGCCAACCUGUGGCUGUCCUUUGAGGAAUUAGCUCAUUCUUCUCAUUCUGGACAACUGUCAUACCUCCCUUCUUCGGAACAACUUGAAUUGGGCUGACCCACUCACUGUCUUGCAUAGGGUAGAUGAUGCCAUAGGGUAGAUGAUGCACACGUGCAGUAGCUUUAAAACCUCUUUCUUGACUACCUCUACCAUCGCAUUAUUAAGCCAUUGAUGAUGUUCUCUUGAUCUACCCGUAGAGUAGGAAUUGGUGUUGUUUAGAUCUUACUUGGAUACUUUUAGUGUAAUUUGUAUUUUGACCCUUGUAUUUAUCUCUAUUUACGCUUAGGACCUACCAAAGAGGAGUUGACCGAUGCGUAGGACUACCAGGGAGCUUUUGAGGACUACGAAGACUAGCUAGGUUCAUGCCCAUCUAUGGUUUGAACACCCAUUAGAGAUGUCAUGCUAGAAUGCUAUCGCUUUACUUUAUGUUAUGAUAAGAUAAACAUGCAUAGCCUACUUGUAAUCCUGUUCCUGGUAAUCCCAUGUUAUACUUGAUGAAUAUAUGAAAUGCUAUGCUUCGCUUGCAUCUGUAUGUGUGUCGAAUGGAGGGAUAGGAUUCUUGCCGUGUGUGGAGAUACUUUUGAGGGGGCGAGUAUAACUUAACUCGAUCCCAGGAUCGGGGUGCUUGGGGUGUGUAAUUGGGCACGCCCUAUGGAGUACCUAUUGCGGGUACAUUUUGGUGGAUACUUGGUUGAGAAGUUGGUGGCCAUACCUAUAAUGCAUGCUGUAGCAGACCAUUGCGAUGGCGCUCACUUCAGCAAGUAAGGACCAAGUGGAAGUAACCUAUGAUUUGUGGGACCAUGUUAAACGUGCGCACCAUUUACCAAUUAUGCGGGUGGGUCUGGCCCGAGGCUAGCAAGUGCGGUACCAAGCCUGUAAGAGGAUAGAGUAUCAGUUAAGGGGGAGGAAGUGCUGACCUUACGUUCCAGAGACGCAAAACCUUGCGAGGUUCAGGUAGGAACAAAGAAUUCAAAGUUCCGGGGUGCCCUCUUCUGGGAGGAUGCGCCCAAGAUCCGAGAUAGCAGGAUGGUGCUAUAACUACCAGUGUCUUUGACCGGUGUCGCAUCGUUCAGUCGGCUGAUCCUUGGUUGUCUUUGUUUCAAGUGGAUCCAGGCAUACAACCUUUGCAGAGUGAGAACUAUACAUGUAGUCGCGUCCGUGGUCAUGGACAAUCCUAUGUUUUGUUUCUCUUACUAGAAUAGUGUCACUUGAUCUCUACCUCCCUCUAGUGGUUAUUUCCUAUCCUGGGGACAACUGAAGUGUGAGGAAUGAGUGUUCUCAUAAUGACUCGGAUGGAUGGAAGGUGUGUGUUGACCGGGGACCUGGGAUGCUAGGAUGGCCCAUGUCGAGGUGUUGAGGAUGAUGACUUAUUUUAUACUUUUUGCUUGUGAAUAGGAAACCCCAACCUUUUUCUUGCCUUUGUUAUAUACUAGUUUAGAGCACUUAAAGCUUGUAUACGGAUGGUGAUAUUGACAUAUCCCACUCCUUGGGGAUAUAUUGGAUAGAUGCAGGAUCCGACUUUAAGUUCGACUACAAUGGUGGUACGAUUGAGGCUCGUGCUAGGCUCAAGUUAAGUCUUGCUUGUGCAGGAGCUUCGUCAGGAUGUAGAUGGUGUCCGGAGCUUAGCUAUCGCUUCUGCUAUUUUCUUUUGUUUUCAUUUAGUCCAAGGGGCUUGUACUGGAUUCCAUAUUACAAUCCUUUAGAUUAUGUAAUAAUUAAACCCAUGUGAUGUCCUACGCUAUGUAUGGAUGUGAUAUUUG
rnacentral:lncRNA from 1 species